rnacentral:rRNA from 1 species
UACAGAGGGGGCAAGCGUUGUUCGGAAUUACUGGGCGUAAAGGGCGCGUAGGCGGCCUGUUAAGUCGAACGUGAAAUCCCUGGGCUCAACCCAGGAACUGCGUCCGAUACUGGCAGGCUUGAAUUCGGGAGAGGGAUGUGGAAUUCCAGGUGUAGCGGUGAAAUGCGUAGAUAUCUGGAGGAACACCGGUGGCGAAGGCGGCAUCCUGGACCGAGAUUGACGCUGAGGCGCGAAAGCCAGGGGAGCAAACGGG